GACGAACGCUGGCGGCGUGCUUAACACAUGCAAGUCGAACGAAGUGGCGAACGGGUGAGUAACGCGUAAUCAACCUGCCCUUCAGAGGGGGACAACAGUUGGAAACGACUGCUAAUACCGCAUACUGAAGGAGGGGUUUGCGUUUGAUUAGCUAGUUGGAGGGGUAACGGCCCACCAAGGCGAAGGCCGGUAGCCGGUCUGGGGGGGUGAACGGCCAAAAUGGGACUGGAGCACCGCCCAAGAUCCUACGGGAGGCAGCAGUGGGGAAUCUUCCGCAAAGGGGGAAAGUCUGGCGGAGCAACGCCGCGGGAGGGAUAGAGGGCUUCGGGUUGUAAAGCUCUGUUAAUCGGGGCGCGGUACCGGAAUAGAAAGCCACGGCUAACUACGUGCCAGCAGCCGCGGUAAUUC
rnacentral:rRNA from 1 species